AGCCAAGUCAUAAUCAAUAUAUUGAAGUAGAACAAAGUCAUAUUCAUAAUAUUGAUGAACAAAGAUGAACAAUUGAAGAACAAUAGAGAAUUACCAAGAAUCAUCUUGACAGAUCCGAAAACCAAUCGAAGAUUGACUCCUUCUAGUUCUAAUCCUACGUAGCUAUGCUAAACUAGAGAUCUAAUUGAUGUGGUGGCUCUAGGGCUUGAUCAGUGGCUUCUUCUCCCAAGAUGAAUAAUUAAUUAGGGUUCAGAGGUCCUCUCCUCUAGGGGCUAGG
rnacentral:lncRNA from 1 species